rnacentral:rRNA from 1 species
UACGAGGGGGGCGAGCGUUGUUCGGAAUUAUUGGGCGUAAAGGGUGCGUAGGCGGCCUGACAAGUCUGAUGUGAAAUCCCUGGGCUCAACCCAGGGCCUGCAUCGGAAACUGUCGGGCUUGAGUAUGGGAGAGGUGAGUGGAAUUUCCGGUGUAGCGGUGAAAUGCGUAGAUAUCGAGAGGAACACCAGUGGCGAAGGCGAGUCCCUGGACACUUCCUGACACUGAGGCACGAAAGCUAGGGGAGCAAACAGG